GCCUUGAUGUGUAGGAUAGGUGGGAGGCUUUGAAGUGUGGACGCCAGUCUGCAUGGAGCCGGCCUUGAAAUACCACCCUUUAAUGUUUGAUGUUCUAACGUGGACCCGUGAUCCGGGUUGCGGACAGUGUCUGGUGGGUAGUUUGACUGGGGCGGUCUCCUCCUAAAGAGUAACGGAGGAGCACGAAGGUUGGCUAAUCCUGGUCGGACAUCAGGAGGUUAGUGCAAUGGCAUAAGCCAGCUUGACUGCGAGCGUGACGGCGCGAGCAGGUGCGAAAGCAGGUCAUAGUGAUCCGGUGGUUCUGAAUGGAAGGGCCAUCGCUCAACGGAUAAAAGGUACUCCGGGGAUAACAGGCUGAUACCGCCCAAGAGUUCAUAUCGACGGCGGUGUUUGGCACCUCGAUGUCGGCUCAUCACAUCCUGGGGCUGAAGUAGGUCCCAAGGGUAUGGCUGUUCGCCAUUUAAAGUGGUACGCGAGCUGGGUUUAGAACGUCGUGAGACAGUUCGGUCCCUAUCUGCCGUGGGCGCUGGAGAACUGAGGGGGGCUGCUCCUAGUACGAGAGGACCGGAGUGGACGCAUCACUGGUGUUCGGGUUGUCAUGCCAAUGGCACUGCCCGGUAGCUAAAUGCGGAAGAGAUAAGUGCUGAAAGCAUCUAAGCACGAAACUUGCCCCGAGAUGAGUUCUCCCUGAGACUUUAGGUCUCCUGAAGGAACGUUGAAGACGACGACGUUGAUAGGCCGGGUGUGUAAGCGCAGCGAUGCGUUGAGCUAACCGGUACUAAUGAACCGUGAGGCUUAACCUUACA
rnacentral:rRNA from 1 species